GCCGCCCGCCCGCACCUCUCCCUCCUCCGGUGAUUCGGCCCUCCCUCGUCUCAGCCGCCACCCCCACGAACCCUAGCCGCGCCCUCCUGCAUCUGUCCUCCUCCCCCUUCCUGGUCUGCCCCCAAGCCCCUCCUCGUCUCCUUGUCGCACCCACCUCAUCACCAGCGACGACCGCACCUAAACGCAUGAGCUAGCCUAGGAAAAGCGGGGUGGCGCGACGCCCUGGUCGUCGGCCGGCGGGGAGCCUGCGUAGAGGCGGUGGCGGAGACGACCCUAGAUGGUGCCCCGCAAGCCGCCCGACCCCCUUCCGUGGAUCUGCUCCUCCCAUUUCCUUUCCGUUGAUUUACUUUUUUUAUUCGUGUUUAAUCUUCAGGGCCAAGAUCUAGACAGGGUGCCUCAACCUCGCCUUCCUCUUCUACCUACUCGCUAAUAGAGAGACAACAACAGCGGUGGGAGGAGCCUGGGCGUAGAGGAGAGAAGUGGACGAGGGGGGUGCAAAGCCAGGAGAUGGAGGUCGCCGGAUAAGCACAGCCGCACAGGGCCUGAUCCCGCCGCUGCCAGAGCAGAGUGCAGGACCACACGGGGCCCGAUGGGGUGGCCGGGAGCGCGAGCUCCCAAGCAGGGAAUGCAGCGGUGCUGGCCUCUCCUCUCCCCGCGCCUCUGUCCUGCGUCGCCACUACCGCCACGGCCUUGCUCGCCAUUGCCCUCCCCAAGUGCUUCUUUCCACAAAUGGUGACGAGGUAGUGGGAUGAGCUGGCCGCCGGCGAUAGAGAAGAGGGAGGGGGAGUGGCGGCGGCGGCUGACAAGGGAGGUGGGGAAGGAGGGUUGCAGCGGCUGUGGGGAUCGAGGAGAAAAGGGGUAGGGUUUGUGCAGGGGCGGCUGAGGCGAGACGAGGAUGGGAUUGGGUGCGCUUGCAUGGAGGGGAUUGGCCAAAUCCUCGUUCACGUGCGCGCGGCCUACCCAGCCAAUACCCGCGACAAACGAGCCCACCAGUCAUAGGCUAGACAACCAAGGCCGGUUCAUGGAGGGACCUAUGUAGCCUCAACGCCUGGGUGGUGGGAGACUACUACCGCCUCGUCUCCGCUGUCAACGCACUCGAGCCGCCUCUUCGGAGGCUUUCCGACGAACAGGUGGCGUGCCGCGUGGAACACCCCACCCACGAUUCCUGAUUCCUAAUGGCCUUUUGUUGUGCGUAUGAUGGAUUUAUGUGUUCCUGCGGCUGAAGGGGAAGACGGAGGAGUUCCGCGCGCGCCUGGGCCGCGGGGAGACGCUCGCCGGCGUUCAGGCAGAGGCGUUUUCUGUGGUGAGGGAGGUGGCAAAGAGGACGCUCGGCAUGCGACACUUUGAUGUUCAGAUUAUUGGUGGCGCUGUGCUCCACGAUUCCAGAUGGCAACGGGGACGAAACCCAUUGGGUUUUGCCUUCCCGAACCCAUCCCCACGAGAAAAUCGCAAACCCAUCCCCGUCCCCAUCACCAUGUGCGGGGCUAGUUUUUCGCCCGUCCCCUAAACCCAUCGGGUUUCGGGGAACCCACGGAAAACCCAUGAGAAAAUAAAAACAUUUAAACAAACAUAGUGGCGACAAAAAAUAACAUUUGAAUAGCAAAACAAGCACAUUUCGGCAGCAUAACUGGAGCAAAUUUUAACAAAAAACAAUAGUAGAUGGUUCAACAGCUAUAUAGAGUGUAUUUUAGCAGAGUUAAACAACAUACAUAGUAUAUUUCGGAGGCAGCAAACAUAACAUAGUAGCAACAAUGAUAUCAUUUCAGCAGCAACAUAGUAUAUUUCAGCAGCAAAACAACUGCAAAUUUCAGCACAAUACUCAGGAAUAACAUCAACUAAAAGAAGCCUAUUUCAGCACAACUAUAGCCCAUUUCAACAACGAAGAUAAGCAUAUUUCAGCAACAAACAGGAGCAUAUUUCAAUAAAAAAAUGUAUUUUGCCGGGUUUCGAGUUCGGGGACUACCGAAACGGGUGCAAACCCAUGAAACGUGUCGGGUUGUAUAAUGUGCCUAACAACAGCCCCGCGGGGAUGAAAAGAUGUCCAUCCUCGUCCCCUAAUAGGGUAAAAACCCGCGGGGACACGGGUUUCGGGGCCCCGUUGCCAUCUUGAUCCACGAUGGGUGCAUUGCGGAGAUGAAGACUCGCGAGGGGAAGACACUCGUGUUGACCUUGGCAGCUUAUCUCAAUGCACUGACUGGGGAUGGAGUUCAUGGUACUGUAUGCAUUUAGAUUAUUUGCGUUUUGCCAAUCAAAAAUUCUGACUUAAACUGGAGUACCAUUGAGUCUAUCAUGGCAUUGUGCAUGGAUGAGCGCAAUGCACACGCUCGUUCUUUUGUUCUUAAAUACCACCAUAUUCCCCAACCGUAGUUUCCUAAAAUGAUACUAUUAAAUAAUUUAUGCAUGAGUAUAUAUAAGAUAUUUUUGUUACUCGGAUUAUAACUCUCGCCUGUGUUUGUUGAUCCAAACAAAGAUGUUUAUUCAGGGUUAGUUUGUUGAUAUUAUACAUUGAUUUGAUCCACUUUCCACAUUUCCAUUGUUGAACCCUAAACAGGCAUCCAUGUCCUUGGUCCCACUUCUUUACAUUUAUAAGCACUGUAAUCCUUUUUCAGUGGUGACUGUAAAUGAUUAUUUGGCACAGCGAGAUGCUGAAUGGAUGGGCCGCGUUCAUCGUUUUCUUGGCCUAACUGUCGGUCUAAUUGAGGUAUACUUCUACAUAAUGUUGUUGUCAUACUUUCUAGACUACCUUGUCGUUCUGGCUUGGAACCAGUCAGUUUCUGCGCUUCUGCGCUGUUACAGUAUUUUUAUAUAAAUGUAUGAUCGGAGGCAAACAUUUAACCUUCUUUCACUCUUUCAUC